UACGAAGGGGGCUAGCGUUGUUCGGAAUUACUGGGCGUAAAGCGCACGUAGGCGGAUAUUUAAGUCAGGGGUGAAAUCCCAGAGCUCAACUCUGGAACUGCCUUUGAUACUGGGUAUCUCGAGUAUGGAAGAGGUGAGUGGAAUUCCGAGUGUAGAGGUGAAAUUCGUAGAUAUUCGGAGGAACACCAGUGGCGAAGGCGGCUCACUGGUCCAUUACUGACGCUGAGGUGCGAAGGCGUGGGGAGCAAACAGG
rnacentral:rRNA from 1 species